UAAUCGGAAAAGACUACCCGCUGAGUUUAA
rnacentral:rRNA from 1 species